AGAGUUUGAUCCUGGCUCAGGACGAACGCUGGCGGCACGCUUAACACAUGCAAGUCGAACGAGAGAAGAGGAGCUUGCUUUUCUGAUCUAGUGGCGGACGGGUGAGUAACACGUGAGCAAUCUGCCUUUCAGAGGGGGAUACCGAUUGGAAACGAUCGUUAAUACCGCAUAACAUAAUUGAACCGCAUGAUUUGAUUAUCAAAGAUUUAUCGCUGAAAGGUGAGCUCGCGUCUGAUUAGCUAGUUGGUAAGGUAACGGCUUACCAAGGCGACGAUCAGUAGCCGGACUGAGAGGCUGAUCGGCCACAUUGGGACUGAGACACGGCCCAGACUCCUACGGGAGGCAGCAGUGGGGAAUAUUGCACAAUGGAGGAAACUCUGAUGCAGCGAUGCCGCGUGAGGGAAGAAGGUUUUAGGAUUGUAAACCUCUGUCUUCAGGGACGAAAAAAGACGGUACCUGAGGAGGAAGCUCCGGCUAACUACGUGCCAGCAGCCGCGGUAAUACGUAGGGAGCGAGCGUUGUCCGGAAUUACUGGGUGUAAAGGGAGCGUAGGCGGGAUCGCAAGUCAGAUGUGAAAACUAUGGGCUUAACCCAUAAACUGCAUUUGAAACUGUGGUUCUUGAGUGAAGUAGAGGUAAGCGGAAUUCCUAGUGUAGCGGUGAAAUGCGUAGAUAUUAGGAGGAACAUCAGUGGCGAAGGCGGCUUACUGGGCUUUAACUGACGCUGAGGCUCGAAAGCGUGGGGAGCAAACAGGAUUAGAUACCCUGGUAGUCCACGCCGUAAACGAUGAUUACUAGGUGUGGGGGGACUGACCCCUUCCGUGCCGCAGCAAACGCAAUAAGUAAUCCACCUGGGGAGUACGACCGCAAGGUUGAAACUCAAAGGAAUUGACGGGGGCCCGCACAAGCAGUGGAGUAUGUGGAUUAAUUCGAAGCAACGCGAAGAACCUUACCAAAUCUUGACAUCCCUCUGAAAAGUCCUUAAUCGGGCUCCUCCUUCGGGACAGAGGUGACAGGUGGUGCAUGGUUGUCGUCAGCUCGGGUCGUGAGAUGUUGGGUUAAGUCCCGCAACGAGCGCAACCCUUGUGAACAGUUGCCAGUAUUAAGUUAGGAACUCUGUUCAGACUGCCGUGGACAACACGGAGGAAGGUGGGGACGACGUCAAAUCAUCAUGCCCCUUACGUCUUGGGCUACACACGUGCUACAAUGGCCGUAACAGAGGGCAGCGAAAGGGCAACCUGGAGCGAAUCUCAAAAAAACGGUCUCAGUUCAGAUUGUGGGCUGCAACCCGCCCACAUGAAGACGGAGUUGCUAGUAAUCGCGGAUCAGCAUGCCGCGGUGAAUGCGUUCCCGGGCCUUGUACACACCGCCCGUCACACCAUGGGAGUUGAGAGCACCCGAAGUCGGUGACCUAACCGCAAGGAAGGAGCCGCCGAAGGUGAGAUUGAUGACUGGGGUGAAGUCGUAACAAGGUA
rnacentral:rRNA from 1 species